GAACAAGAUUUCAAAACCCUUAUGGAUCGUUAGGGUUUCUGACUAAAAGAAUUCGAAUUUCUCUUGUAAUUUGGGCAACAAUGGAGGAAAACAAAAUCGAAACCGAAAAGCCCUCCCAAACUCCAAUCGUUUUCCCUCCUCACCGUCGAAGGCACCUCAACAGCGGAACGUACCGUACAUUGGUUCGAAUAUUCUCUCACUUCAAGGAGUCCCAGCAUUCAGUUUCCGAUCAAAAUGUACCUCAAGAGCUUAAUCGAGAUAAUGGCAACAACGAAUCGGUGCAAGAAGCUGAAAAGGAAGUGCCGGAGAAUGCUGAAUUGGUUGGCCCUGACAAUGCGAAGGGGAGAGUGGCUGAUGAGUGUUGUAAUGAUAAUGGUUUUCGAGAAAGGAUAGAGCAGAUAGAGAGUUUACUGAGCGUGGAAGAAAAUGAGGAUUUUUCGGGACUGGAAGACACGAUAGACAUAGAAAACAUUCUUGCCAUUGAUUUAAAAGAUAUGGGGUUUUUUCCUAAGCAAAUGCUGGUGGAUGAGCCAGAGUUGGUUGUGAAAGGGAAUCGUGAACCCUCUAUCGCAUCAUUGGACCACAACCAGAAUGGCGGUGAUAAGGCUGCAUUGUUGACUAACGAAGAAGAACAUGUAGAAACUGUGACAUCUCAAGAUUCGGUUCAAAUGGUUUCUGUAAGCCAUGGUUCAUCUUUAAAAACUGUUGAGGUGACUGAAAGUUUAAAUCCAAGAGAGUCUACUGAACACAAACAUUCCUUGUCGAAGACUAGCGCAUUGGAUGUAGAGCCUAUAAUGCAACUGGAAUCAAUGGAACUACAGACUCCUGUUUCUGCCGAGGGUGCGAUCGAAUCGUCUAUUCCAAUUACUGAACUUGGAGCGAUUAAGGAGACAGAAAUCUUUAGUCAAAAUGUCCCUGAAGCCUUUGAUUUUUCUUUGAAUAAAGAUAUGGUUGCUGAAGCUUCAAAGCCUACUGAUUAUAGCAAAAACAAAAGUUUGUUACCAGAAACUAAUUCCUUAGAAGUAGUACGUGAAAUGCCUGAGAAGUUUAAGGAAACGGAGAAACCAGUUUGUGACAUAACGGCAAUGAGUUCUACCAACCAUAUGGAUGAUAGAGAUAUUGAAGAGGGAGAAAUUUCUGGUGACAAUGGGAUGGAUGGCAGACCAAGUGAUGAGCUUUUGCAAGAUACAGUAGUACUUGAGGAACAGAAGGUUCACAAGGGGCAGAUAUCCAAAGAUGUAAUUGAUAGAAAAGAGCAGCUUUGCGAGGAAGUAAAUGACAAGGAUUUUGGUUCCAGUUCCUUUCUGGUGGACGUGGUUGAGGAUGGAAAAAUUGGCAGAGGGGUGGAACUGAGGGAAAGUAGAAGGACUGAUAUGAUUUGUAGACCGGGGGUUGUUCAGGGUCAAAAUGUAAGUGACUCCCAUCCUUUGCUAGAUGGUGGAAGAAUUGAAAUGAAAGAUAAUCGAGUUGACAUGGGUAUUGACUGGUCUGCAGCUGGAAACCAUGGAACCGCGUCCGAAGAAAAGUGGGAUGCUGGUGCCUGUAACAAAAGAAAGCGCGGUCCUCCAAAUAAGGAAAAGAAAGAAAGGAAGAAGGCAAAAGAACGAAAGAAACGGGCAGAGAAGAACAGGGAACUUGGUGUUAAAAGGCUGAAACUGCAACCAUUACAAAAACCAAAGCCUGUAGCAUAUUGCCGCCAUUAUCUGAACGGAAAGUGCAAUCUGGGUGACCAGUGCAAGUAUUCACAUGAUACAGUGCCCUUAACAAAAUCCACGCCCUGUGGCAAAUUUGCACGGAAUGAGUGCAUGAAAGGGGAUGACUGUGGAUAUGAUCAUGACCUCUCUAAGUAUCUCUGUCACCAUUUCAGAGACAAUGGUUUCUGCGGCAGAGGUGAUAGUUGUCUGUUUUCACACAAGAUGCCAUCCAAGGAAGAGAGUGAAACUACUGCUUGUAAACUGAAUUGAAGCCUCCCAUGGUACAGAGUAAUUCCAGGUCUCAACAAGUAAACAUCGGUGGUGCCUCCCAGCAGAAUGUCCAUGCCUUGGGCUUCUCAACGGGGAUCCAUUCUCACAAUAAUACUAAACAGAAUGUGACGGAGAAUGUUUUGAAGAAACCUGAACUAGCUACCACAGGGAUUAGCUUUCCCUCUGUUGAGAAAUCAUCAUUGGUUCAUUCUAGCAUGUCUAAGCAAGGAGGCGUAACCCCCAAUAGGAAUAUGGGUACCAAAGCUGGGAGCCAAAUAGAUCAAAGUCCAUUCAGUUCCGUUCAAAAUUCCAAUGAGAUUUUAAAGAGAACACCAGUAACCACUCCUAAAGGAAUAAAUUUUUUAUCAUUUGCCAAGGCUUCACCAGAUGUUGCAAGAGGUAAAAGCCAAGUCAGCCAUCAGACCAGCCCAGGUGUGUCAGAGACUGUACAAAACUCAAAUGGGAUGCUAAGGUCUGAUAAAACGGCAGCAUCUCUGGGAACAAGCUUUAAACCUUUUGGGAAAUCUUCGGUAGCUAGUCCUACUGGUGGUCAAAACUUGAAUGCGAUGCUACAGGUUAAUCUACCGGCAGCAUCGCAGGGAACACACUUUAAUCCUUUUGGGAACUCUUCACUAGCUGGUUCUGGUAGAGACCAAAACUUUAAAGGCAUUCAAUCAGCAGCAUCACAGGGGACAAGCUUUAAUCCUUUCCGGAAAUCUUUGGUAACUAGUUCUAAUCCUUUUGAGAAAUCUUCGGUAUCUAGUUCUCGUACAGCAGAUCCAGUUAGUUUGACUUCCUGCUGGGGUAAUGGUAGCAAUAGGGAUUCCCGUGAGAGUCAGAAUACAGCUGAUAAAGCCCAAAAUUCAAGCACGGUCUCAUUGAGGCUGCCACCUUCUCCAAUUACUUCAGGUCAAUCUUCAGAUCAUGUAGCAACCAAGUUUUGUAAAGGUACAGCAAAUUCAUUCCAGAGGGGACUCUUUUCUACCCUAGCAUUUGCAGCGAAGUAUAGAGCUCAAAACAUGAACCAGUCAAUUGGUUCAACUGAUACUCAAGUCGAUAAAGGAAACUAGAAUAGCAGCAUCAGCUACAGGUUCGCAGAAUGAUUCAGCAAAAGCUUUUGAAAUUUUGAAUUUCUUGUCUCAUAUUGGUAGUAAAACCAAUCGGUGAGUGUGUUGCAUGGUGUUAAACAGUGAAUGGCUCUGUAGACAGGAUUGAGUUGCAAGAAGGGGAUACUGCUGCCAGAACUGAGAUUGUUGUUUGUUCAGAUUGGUCAAAUAUACCGUGAAAUAUAGAAAGGUAGUAGGCUAGGUGGCAUCUCACUUGCUCUUAGUCUGCGCAAGUAGUAAGUCAUUCGUACAAAUUCAGCUGUCAACAAGGUACAGUUUGCAUUUUUUCAAAUACCGAUGUAAGCAAUAUUUCCUUACAUGUUCUUGAAGAGGUAGUAAUUUGGCACUGUGGUUUAACAGGAUCUUCUUCAUUGAAUUAAUUUCAUCCUGGCCAAAUUUUGUAAAUCGAUACUCAGAUGAAUACCAAUCUCAUGUGGCUGCGUUCUUAAAAUGUUCGUGAUAACAUUCUUUUGCGACCUUGCAUCACUCUGGAAAAGUGGAAAUCCAUCCACUUUCUGCCACUGCUGGAAAACAGAUCGUUUAGGUAUCGGAUUUACUUACUAAUCUGCUGCUCUUUUCUAAUAAUCCAAGGAGUCGUACUAUACAUGAACGUAUAGCAUACAUUGCAUUUUAAGUGACUCAGAUCGACUCGCUAAAUUCUCUUAGACCCUUGAAUUUCGGCAUGUUACUGCUGUAAGAUCAUCCAGCACGUAACUUGGGCUGGUCAAACUACGCGGGAACUUUUGUAAUGCAUUAGCUAUUGGAUUGUAUGUAAGAUAUUUGGCGCUAUUGUGUUGUUAACUUAUUUAAUCUUCAAAGAUUAGACUAAACA